rnacentral:ncRNA from 1 species
ACCCGGGGACGACCCUGGGCCAGGCUCUUCGAUUUUGCCGGGACGACCCGG